rnacentral:rRNA from 1 species
AUUGAACGCUGGCGGCAGGCCUAACACAUGCAAGUCGAACGAGCGGCGGAAGGGUGUGUAAUGUAUGGGGACUGCCCGAUAGAGGGGGGUAACUACUGGAAACGGUGGCUAAUACAGCAUACUGUCGGAUAACCCAUAUGGGGUUAGCUAGUAGGUAGGGUAAUGGCUUACCUAGGCGACGAGCCCUAGCUGGUCUGAGAGGAUGAUCAGCCACACUGGAACGGAGACACGGCCCAGACUCCUACGGAGGCAGCAGGGGGGAAGAUUGCACAAUGGGCGCAAGCCUGAUGCAGCCAUGCCGCGUGUAUGAAGAAGGCCCUAGGGUUGUAAAGUACUUUCAGUGGGGAGGCGUUACCGACAGAAGAAGCACCGGCUAACUCCGUGCCAGCAGCCGCGGUAAUUC